rnacentral:rRNA from 1 species
AUUGAACGCUGGCGGCAUGCCUUACACAUGCAAGUCGAACGGCGGCACGGGUGCUUGCACCUGGUGGCGAGUGGCGAACGGGUGAGUAAUACAUCGGAACAUGUCCUGUAGUGGGGGAUAGCCCGGCGAAAGCCGGAUUAAUACCGCAUACGAUCUACGGAUGAAAGCGGGGGACCUUCGGGCCUCGCGCUAUAGGGUUGGCCGAUGGCUGAUUAGCUAGUUGGUGGGGUAAAGGCCUACCAAGGCGACGAUCAGUAGCUGGUCUGAGAGGACGACCGGCCACACUGGGACUGAGACACGGCCCAGACUCCUACGGGAGGCAGCAGUGGGGAAUUUUGGACAAUGGGCGAAAGCCUGAUCCAGCAAUGCCGCGUGUGUGAAGAAGGCCUUCGGGUUGUAAAGCACUUUUGUCCGGAAAGAAAUCCUUGGCCCUAAUACGGUCGGGGGAUGACGGUACCGGAAGAAUAAGCACCGGCUAACUACGUG